AAAGCUCCAAGGAAGACACCAAACCCAGCCUAUGGUCGUUUGUUCACAUAAACGUAACAAAAUUAAAAAGUGGAAGUUGGAAAUAUGAGUGUCAACGAGAGGUAACUGACAAAAAGAUACUCUUUCAAGUAAGUCAGGAUAAACUUUUAAAAUAAUUCUUUUUACUUGAAAGCAAAAAGGGUAUGAUAAUUUAUUAUGUUACACUGUGGCCAUUUAGUAAAUCUGAUGGUGUGUUAAUGUGAAGCCUUUUUUCUGUUGUUAGAUUGUGAUGGUCCUAUUGAAUUUUAGGUACAUAGUAUAAGAUUUAUUCAACAGUCUCCCCUUCACAACAGGAAAUCCUAAGAAGAAUGUUAAGAAAUGUAAGGGUCACAGUUUCGGCCACCCUUGCUUCAGCUUACCGUCAACACAAAGUCAAGUUGAUUGCAUAAUUAAUGAAAUGAAAGAAGUGAAGUUAGGAUGCUUGUGGUGUUGAAUUAUAAUAUUUAGGGUUAAGUUGAUGGACUAGCGUUUUAGGAUAUUCAUAUGGAGACCAUCAAUUUGUCUUUGAUGGUUCUGUGACACUUUCAUCUGGAAGGUACUGUACAUGUUAAGUUUGAUGCUUUUUUUUAUUUAAAAAAGGGACUCAUUCAUUUCUUUAUAGGAUGUUGCAUAUGUAUACCUUUUCAAUGCCAGGUACUCUAUAAUUACAGUAUCUCAUGGAUUGUGGAUUCUUUUCCUCUAAUACAAUUUGAUGUGUUAUCUAAGUGAACUUCAUUAAUCCAAAUCAAACAUAUCUAACAUCAAUACAUGUGCACUUAGCAUUACUCAUACACAUUGAAUGAUAUUUUUUCCCUUUUCUUCUUAUGCAGCACUUACAUUAUAGGUAAUUAUUGCCUAUAUUGCAACAUAUGCAGAUAUAUGUAGGUAGUAAUAUCGCCUAUAUUGAUCAGUCUUGUUACUAACUUAUUCAUCUGAGUACCAACUUGGUUCUGGCAAACUUACUAAUUUCUCAUGUUUAUAUGCGGCUCUUGCCUUGAUCAUAAACAGAAGUAUGAACAAUCUGACCAUACUUUUUCUUUUGUUGAGAAAGAAUACUUUAUCAUCAAUAUUUGUUUAUCAAAUAAUAACCAUC
rnacentral:lncRNA from 1 species